rnacentral:rRNA from 1 species
UUGGAGGGCAAGUCUGGUGCCAGCAGCCGCGGUAAUUCCAGCUCCAAUAGCGUAUAUUAAAGUUGUUGCAGUUAAAAAGCUCGUAGUUGAACUUCGGGGUCUACCCAUUGGUCAGGCUUAGUUGUCUGCACUGGUGAGAUGGAUCUCUACCUUCUGAGGAACUUUCAUGCCAUUUAUUUGGUGUGAUGGGAAAUCAGGACUGUUACUUUGAAAAAAUUAGAGUGUUUAAAGCAGACUAUCGUCUGAAUACAUUAGCAUGGAAUAAUGAAAUAGGACGGACUGAUUCUAUUUCGUUGGUUUCUAGGAUCACCGUAAUGAUUAAUAGGGAUAGUUGGGGGCAUUAGUAUUCAAUUGUCAGAGGUGAAAUUCUUGGAUUUAUUGAAGACUAACUACUGCGAAAGCAUUUGCCAAGGAUGUUUUCAUUAAUCAAGAACGAAGGUUAGGGGAUCGGAGACGAUCAGAUACCGUCGUAGUCUUAACCAUAAACUAUGCCGACUAGGGAUCGGACGAAGUUAAUUUAUAAUGACGCGUUCGGCACCUUACGGGAAACCAAAGUGUUUGGGUUC